UCAAGUUCAGCGGGUAGUCCUACCUGAUUUGAGGUCAAAGGUUAUAUAUAAUUUUGUCCAAGGACAAGGGGUUAUAGGCACAGCACACAAAAUGUUGCACUUUCAUGCCAACGAUGAUCAUUAUCACACCGAUGACACUUGGUCGCACAACCAUGCUUCACCAAUACAUUUCAGAGGAGCCAAACCCUAAUAAAAGGAGU
rnacentral:misc_RNA from 1 species